UGCAUGCCUUCGAACAGCUUACAUCGUACUACAGGGAUAAGUGUUUACAGAUGAAAAAAUACGGGAUAUAUCCAAAAUAUAUACACAAUGACAGAAGUAGGGGACAGUAAUAACAGACAAAUCUUUAGACAACUGAGGGCAGAACAAAAUUGGCUCAUUGGGAGAUGAAAGCAAACAAGAACAGAAACACAUGGAGAGAGCUUUAACUAUCCUUGAUGGGUUCAGUUCACCACACCCAGCUGAACUGCAUCCCAAGAAACAUUUUUAAUCAAAGGGAAGAACUGGAACACAACUGGACAGCAUAUAUAAAGCACACUUAAAACCACUAAUACACAUGCCAGCUGUCAGGGUACAGAAAAUGGAAAUUAUGUUAUGUUGACUGCA